rnacentral:rRNA from 1 species
AUUGAACGCUGGCGGCAGGCCUAACACAUGCAAGUCGGACGGUAGCACAGAGGAGCUUGCUCCUCGGGUGACGAGUGGCGUACGGGUGAGUAAUGUCUGGGGAUCUGCCCGAUAGAGGGGGAUAACCACUGGAAACGGUGGCUAAUACCGCAUAACGUCGCAAGACCAAAGAGGGGGACCUUCGGGCCUCUCACUAUCGGAUGAACCCAGAUGGGAUUAGCUAGUAGGCGGGGUAACGGCCCACCUAGGCGACGCUCCCUAGCUGGUCUGAGAGGAUCACCCGCCACACAGGAACUGAGACACGGUCCAGCCUCCUCCGGGAGGCAGCAGUGGGGAAUAUUGCACAAUGGGCGCCAGCCUGAUGCAGCCAUGCCGCGUGUAUGAAGCAGGCCUUCGGGUUGUAAAGUACUUUCAGCGGGGAGGAAGGCGAUGUGGUUAAUCACCGCAUUGAUUGACGUUACCCGCAGAAGAAGCACCGGCUAACUCCGUGCCAGCAGCCGCCGUAA